GUGGAGAACUUUACAGAAAAAGUGUGUUUCUUCUGACCAAAUCUGAUCUGAGUCAAUUUUUCUGCUGAUUCCUCCUACCCAGUGGGAAUUUUUAAAAAAUACAUAACGAGCACAUUUUGUGUUCUAAAGGACAUGAAUAAAAUGAUCCAGAGCUGUGGAGAUAACUCAGUGUGUAAUUGUGCUUGUUUUCCAUGAGAGCAAGGAGUGCUUAGUUCAAAUUCUCCAAACCUAGAGAAAAGAAAUGCUAGGCUUAGUCAUGUAUCUGUAACUCUACCUUUUUGCCGGCAUUGGGGUGGAUAUAGGGACUUGAUGGCCAGCCAUCCUGAGCAGCUUUAGGUUAAGUGAGAUACUUAUCAUGUCCCAAAGUGUAAGACAGCAGGUAGUGGGGAAAGAACCCCUGAAGUCUCCCUUUGGCAUAUACACUCAUAGACAUGCACCUGUCCCUGGACACACAGGCAACACACACACACACACACACAUUGGAAAAUAGGUUGAAGGAGCUGGAUAGCAACUCAUAUGAAAAAAAAAAAACCCUAGGUUUUAUACUUAAUUUGCUUUUUGAAAACAUUUCUAAAAGCCUUAACCUUCAUGUAUGAAGCAACACUUGAACCCCUCCCUGGUUUUGAAGAAUAACCUUAGGUUUAGAAGAGGUGAAUAAAAUAGUGUUUUCCUAAAGGAGUUAUGUCCGGAUGGCUUUAUGUUUCAUUGUUAAAAUCCAGCGAGGAGAACUUGGAAGUGGACACUAGGAACAGCCUUCUCAGCAUACUCCUAUUUCAUUGACAUAAGUGACUUUUGAGCUUCAACCUAAGGACGUGGGAAUAAUAACGGCUUCAUAGUGGGAUAAUGGUAAUUAGCACACAAAAGUUGAGUUAAUUACCAUGAAGGUUAUGACACAGACUGACAGACUGAGUCAAAGUAAACUACAAGCCUUCCACCUCAGUCAAGACUCUAAAAAGGGACCGUACAACUCCCACUGCAGUUAGACAUAAAGCACAAUUGAGAUCAGUCACCUUUUCUCCCUCCAUCCUUAUUUCUAGACUUUUAAUUUCUUCGUAUGAAAUUCAAGAACAAUAGCUCUAGCCGUGUAUAUUUUGAUAAAGUAUGUAUAGUUGAUUUUCAUUGUUCUUGGUGAUGACAUUCCAUAAAGUUGCUGCCCAUAAUGAAAUGUUCCCAGUAAAAAUAGAGAGGUAAGUUCCAGAGUCCCUCUGUAAAAUGAUCUUCAUUAACUCAUCAGCACAUAAUCUCAUUUUCUGAAAGCUUCUGGUAGAUACUCUGUUCAGGAUGUGUUAUUGUUUCCCGAACACUCAGCUUCCCUCGCAGCACUGUAGCCUUUGCCUCACAGAGCUUGUUAUCCAAAGCUUGUAUUUUCUGUGCAAAGCAUUGCAGCCUUUUUAGGAACACCAGGAAACACAGUAUGUAUGGGGGUCAUUUUGAACAGCAAAAUUGCCAAAGAACAUUCUAAAAUAGCUAGCAGUGCUACC
rnacentral:lncRNA from 1 species